rnacentral:sRNA from 1 species
AUAUAUAUAUAUAGAGGUGUCAAAAUGGGUAACCCAACUCAACUCAACUCAUAAUCAAAUGAGUUUAACAAAAUGGGUUGGGUCAACCCAUAACUCAUUUAAUUUGAUGGUUUGAGUUGUUAAAUGGGUUAACCCAUUUAAGUAAUAAUUUAAUUAAUUAUUAUUAUAAAACAAUAAUAAAUAAUUAUCAUUAUUAAUAAUUAUUAAUUCAUUAUCAUUACGGAUUUACGUUUUUGGCGGGAAAAUUACGGGUUACAUUGUUGGCGGGAAAAUCACGGGUUUACGUUUUUGGCGGGAAAAUCACGGGUUUUCGUUUUUGGCGGGAAAAUCACGGGUUUACGUUUUUGGCGGGAAAAUCACGGAUUUUCGUUUUUGGCGGGAAAAUCACGGGUUUUCGUUUUUGGCGGAAAAAUUACAUGUUUUUCGUUUUUGGCGGAAAAAUCACGGGUUUUCGUUUUUGGCGGAAAAAUCACGGGUUUUCGUUUUUGGCGGGAAAAUCACGGGUUUUCGUUUUUGGCGGAAAAAUCAUGGGUUUUCGUGUUUGGCGGGAAAAUCACGGGUUUACGUUUUUAGUGGGAAAAUCACGGGUUUACGUUUUUGGCGAGAAAAUCACGGGUUUUCGUUUUUGGCGGGAAAAUCACGGGUUUACGUUUUUGGCGGGAAAAUCACGGAUUUUUCGUUUUGGCGGGAAAAUCACGGAUUUUCGUUUUUGGCGGGAAAAUCACGGGUUUUCGUUUUUGGCGGGAAAAUCACAUGUUUUUCGUUUUUGGCGGAAAAAUCACGGGUUUUCGUUUUUGGCGGGAAAAUCACUGGUUUUCGUUUUUAGCGGGAAAAUCACGGGUUUACGUUUUUGGCGGGAAAAUUACGGGUUUUCACUUUUGGCGGAAAAAUCAUGGGUUUUCGUUUUUGGCGGGAAAAUCACGGGUUUACGUUUUUUGCGGAAAAAUCACGGAUUUAUGUUUUUGGCGAGAAAAUCACGGGUUUCUGUUUUUUGGUGGAAAAAUUACGAGUUUACUUUUUCUCAAUUCAUCGUUUGUAUAUUUAAGAAAUUUGGAAAAAUAUUGAUUUUACUAGAUUGGUUUAGAUGUGUUGGUUAAACUUAAAUUAGCAUUGGUUUAUAGAUUUUAGUUGGUUUAAUUCAAUUUUACAAAACUUGAUGGAUUAAUUGGGUAAACCAUUGAAACCAUUAACCAUUACAAUCCAACUCAUUUUACUCAUCAAACCAAUUGACCCAAUAACUCAUUUGACCCAUCAACUCAUUUGAGUCAAAAUUUUCAAUUCAUUAGGGUUCAUGGGUUGAGUUGAGUUGACCCAUGAAUUUUGACCCAUUUUGACACCCCUAUAUAUAUAUAUAUAUAUAUAUACUGUACAUAAUAUUAAUAUCUAAAAGUGUGUUAACA